GGGCGGUUAGCUCAGCGGUAGAGCACUCCCCUCACACGGGAGGGGCCAUUGGUUCGAUCCCAAUACCGCCCACCA
rnacentral:tRNA from 1 species